rnacentral:ncRNA from 2 species
AGAGAGUUUUACAGAGCAGAAACAGAACAGAAGCAGAGCAGCUGUGUAUACACAACACUGCAACUAUCCCUAUCACUGAGGGACAAAGCAGAAACCAGCUGAGCUCUCCUUGGCUGUCUGUACAAGCAAAGCAAAAGCUUCAAG